rnacentral:rRNA from 1 species
GACAUCAACUCAUGCGUGACUACCCCCUAAAUUUAAGCA